rnacentral:lncRNA from 1 species
AUGGCCAGCGUAAAGUGCCGUAGGAAUUGUAGAUUAUUGCAAAAUUUAAUGCCAAUAUGUGCUUGCCUGCAGCCUGUUGUGGUGGAAGAGAAAAAGCCGGUUGAGGUGCAGGUCGACGCGUCUAAGAGCAGCACUCUCGAGGCCGCUGCAAAACCUGAAGAUCCUCCAGCACCAAAACCAGAGGAGAAGAAACCAGAGA